rnacentral:rRNA from 1 species
CAGCAGUAGCCACGGUAAUACGGAGGGCGCGAGCGUUACCCGGAUUCACUGGGCGUAAAGGGCGUGUAGGCGGCCUGGGGCGUCCCAUGUGAAAGGCCACGGCUCAACCGUGGAGGAGCGUGGGAUACACUCAGGCUAGAGGGUGGGAGAGGGUGGUGGAAUUCCCGGAGUAGCGGUGAAAUGCGCAGAUACCGGGAGGAACGCCGAUGGCGAAGGCAGCCACCUGGUCCACUUCUGACGCUGAGGCGCGAAAGCGUGGGGAGCAAACAGGAUUAGAUACCCCUGUAGUCCCUGUCUCUUAUAA